rnacentral:rRNA from 1 species
GGAUUGUAAACUCCUUUUAUCAGGGACGAUAAUGACGGUACCUGAAGAAAAAGCUCCGGCUAACUACGUGCCAGCAGCCGCGGUAAUACGUAGGGAGCGAGCGUUGUCCGGAAUUACUGGGUGUAAAGGGAGCGUAGGCGGGAUAGCAAGUCAGAUGUGAAAACUAUGGGCUCAACCUGUAGAUUGCAUUUGAAACUGUUGUUCUUGAGUGAAGUAGAGGUAAGCGGAAUUCCUAGUGUAGCGGUGAAAUGCGUAGAUAUUAGGAGGAACAUCGGUGGCGAAGGCGGCUUACUGGGCUUUUACUGACGCUGAGGCUCGAAAGCGUGGGGAGCAAACAGGAUUAGAUACCCUGGUAGUCCACGCUGUAAACGAUGAUUACUAGGUGUGGGGGGACUGACCCCUUCCGUGCCGCAGUUAACACAAUAAGUAAUCCACCUGGGGAGCA